CGUGUGGUUCUAUUUUGUUGGUUAUGGGACCGCCGUAAUGAUUAAUAGGGACAGUCGGGGGCAUCAGUAUUCAAUUGUCAGAGGUGAAAUUCUUGGAUUUAUUGAAGACUAACUACUGCGAAAGCAUUUGCCAAGGAUGUUCUCAUUAAUCAGGAACGAAAGUUAGGGGAUCGAAGACGAUCAGAUACCGUCGUAGUCUUAACCAUAAACUAUGCCGACUAGGGAUCGGGCGAUGUUACUUUUUGACUCGCUCGGCACCUUACGAGAAAUCAAAGUUUGUGGGCUCCUGGGGGAGUAUGGUGGCAACGCUGAAACUUAAAGAAAUUGACGGAAGGGCACCACCAGGGGUGGAGCCUGCGGCUUAAUUUGACUCAACACGGGGAAACUCACCAGGUCCAGACACAAUGAGGAUUGACAGAUUGAGAGCUCUUUCUUGAUUUUGUGGGUGGUGGUGCAUGGCCGUUCUUAGUUGGUGGAGUGAUUUGUCUGCUUAAUUGCGAUAACGAACGAGACCUUAACCUGCUAAAUAGCCCGUGUUGCUUCUGCAGCACGCCGGCUUCUUAGAGGGACUAUCGGCUCAAGCCGAUGGAAGUUUGAGGCAAUAACAGGUCUGUGAUGCCCUUAGAUGUUCUGGGCCGCACGCGCGCGACACUGACAGGGCCAGCGAGUUCUCCCUUGUCCGAAAGGACCGGGUAAUCUUGUUAAACCCUGUCGUGC
rnacentral:rRNA from 1 species